UACGGGGGGAGCAAGCGUUGUUCGGAUUUACUGGGCGUAAAGGGCGCGUAGGCGGCCUCUGCAAGUCGACUGUGAAAUCUCCGGGCUUAACUCGGAACGGCCAAUCGAUACUGACGUGCUAGAGUGCAGAAAGGGCAAUCGGAAUUCUUGGUGUAGCGGUGAAAUGCGUAGAUAUCAAGAGGAACACCUGAGGCGAAGGCGGGUUGCUAGGCUGACACUGACGCUGAGGAGCGAAAGCAUGGGGAGCGAACAGG
rnacentral:rRNA from 1 species